rnacentral:rRNA from 1 species
AUUGAACGCUGGCGGCAUGCUUUACACAUGCAAGUCGAACGGCAGCGCGGGCUUCGGUCUGGCGGCGAGUGGCGAACGGGUGAGUAAUGCAUCGGAACGUGCCCAGUAGUGGGGGAUAGCCCGGCGAAAGCCGGAUUAAUACCGCAUACGACCUGAGGGUGAAAGCGGGGGACCGAAAGGCCUCGCGCUUUUGGAGCGGCCGAUGUCGGAUUAGCUAGUUGGUGGGGUAAAGGCUUACCAUGGCGACGAUCCGUAGCUGGUCUGAGAGGACGACCAGCCACACUGGGACUGAGACACGGCCCAGACUCCUACGGGAGGCAGCAGUGGGGAAUUUUGGACAAUGGGGGCAAGCCUGAUCCAGCCAUGCCGCGUGCGGGAAGAAGGCCUUCGGGUUGUAAACCGCUUUUGUUCGGGAAGAAAUCCUCUGGGCUAAUACCCCGGGGGGAUGACGGUACCGGAAGAAUAAGCACCGGCUAACUACGUG